rnacentral:rRNA from 1 species
CCCCCAGAUGUUCUGGGCCGCACGCGCGCUACACUGAACAGUUCAACAAGUCUUAACCUUGGCCGAUAGGUCUGGGUAAUCUUUGAACGCUGUUCGUGAUUGGGAUAGACCUUUGCAAUUAUGGGUCUUCAACGAGGAAUUCCUAGUAAACGCAAGUCAUCAGCUUGCAUUGAUUACGUCCCUGCCCUUUGUACACACCGCCCGUCGCACCUACCGAUUGAAUGGUCCGGUGAAAUCUCGGGACGGCGGCUCGGUCGCUUGCGUCCGACUGCUGAAACUUGAUUAAACCAUAUCAUUUAGAGGAAGGUGAAGUCGUAACA